rnacentral:rRNA from 1 species
UAAGGGGUGAAAGGCCAACCAAAUUCCGCUAUAGCUAGUUCUCCGCGAAAACUAUUUAGGUAGUGCGUUGUGUUAAUGUUGUUAGGGGUAGAGCACUAGAUGGGCUAGGGGGAAGCGAUUCCUACCAAACCUAACUAAACUCCGAAUACUAGCAAUUUCUGCACAGCAGACAGACUAUAGGUGCUAAGGUCUAUAGUCGAGAGGGAAACAGCCCAGAUCACCAGUUAAGGCCCCCAAAUAAUGGCUAAGUGGGAAAGUAUGUAGAAAGUCCAAGACAGGCAGGAGGUUGGCUUAGAAGCAGCCAUCCUUUAAAGAUAGCGUAACAGCUCACUGUUCUAAUUAAGACUUUCCGCGACGAAGAUGUACCGGGGCUCAAGCCAUUUGCCGAAACUGUGACUUUAUAAGUAUUGCGAUACUUAUAAGGGGUAGCGGAGCGUUCUGUAAGCCGUUGAAGGUGUUUUGAAAAAAAUGCUGGAGGUAUCAGAAGUGCGAAUGCUGACAUGAGUAGCGAUAAAGAGUGUGAGAGACACUCUCGCCGAAAUCCUAAGGUUUCCUGCGUAAAGCUAAUCUGCGCAGGGUUAGUCGACCCCUAAGGCGAGGCAGAAAUGCGUAGUCGAUGGGAAACAGGUUAAUAUUCCUGUACCUGCUAUGAGUUGACGAAUCAUGUAAAUUGUAUUUUCUUAUUGGAUUGAAAAUGCAGUGAAGUGGUUCCUGGAAAUAGCCACAGCGUAUAGAUCGUACCAUAAACCGACACAGGUAGGAAGGUAGAGUAUACCAAGGCGCUUGAGAGAAUGAUGUUGAAGGAACUCGGCAAAAUGCCCUUGUAACUUCGGAAUAAAAGGGACCUAUUUUUAGGCAACUAGAAGUAGGUGGCACAGAAUUGGGAGAAGCGACUGUUUAUCAAAAACACAGGUCUCUGCUAAGUCGUAAGACGAUGUAUAGGGACUGACGCCUGCCCGGUGCCGGAAGGUUAAAUGGUGGAGUGCAAGCUCUGAAAUGAAGCCCCGGUGAACGGCGGCCGUAACUAUAACGGUCCUAAGGUAGCGAAAUUCCUUGUCAGGUAAGUUCUGACCCGCAUGAAUGGCGUAACGAUUUCUCCGCUGUCUCCAACAUCAACUCAGCGAAAUUGAAUUCUCCGUGAAGAUGCGGAGUACCCGUGGUCAGACGGAAAGACCCCGUGCACCUUUACUACAACUUUACAGUGGUAUUAGGAAAAUAAUGUGUAGGCUAGGUGGUAGACUUUGAAGCAGGAGCGCUAGCUUUUGUGGAGUCAAAAGAUGAAACACCACCCUUUAUUUUUUUGAUAUCUAACCAACAUCCAUUAUCUGGAUGUGGGACCCUGUAUGGUGGGUAGUUUGACUGGGGCGGUCGCCUCC